GACGAACGCUGGCGGCGUGCUUAACACAUGCAAGUCGAGCGGAAAGGCCCUGCUUUUUUGCUUUGCUCGAGUGCCGAACGCGUGAGUAACACUUGAGUAACCUGCCCUUGACUUUCGGAUAACUUUAGGAAACUGGGGUUCAUACUGGUUAGCAACUCCUGCUUCAUUGUGCGGGUUGGUAAGUUUCGGCGGUUGUGGAUGGACUCGCGGCAUAUCAGCUUGUUGGUGGUGUAGUGGCUUACCACGGCUUUGACGGGUAGCCGGCCUGAGAGGGUGGACGGCCACAUUGGGACUGAGAUACGGAGCAGACUCCUACGGGAGGCAGCAGUGGGAAGUAUUGCAGAAUGGGCGGAAGCGUGAUGCAGAAGCAUGGCGUGCGGAAUGAAGGCCUUCGGGUUGUAAACCGAUUUCGCCUGAGACGAAGCGUGAGUGACGGUAAUGGGUAAAGAAGCACCGGCUAACUACGUG
rnacentral:rRNA from 1 species